rnacentral:rRNA from 1 species
AGUGAACGCUGGCGGCAGGCCUAAUACACGCAAGUCGAACGGCAGCACAGCAGAGCUUGCUCUGUGGGUGGCGAGUGGCGGACGGGUGAGGAAUACAUGGGAAUCUGCCCAGUCGUGGGGGAUAACGUAGGGAAACUUACGCUAAUACCGCAUGCGCCCUUCGGGGGAAAGCCGGGGACCUUCGGGCCUGGCGCGAUUGGAUGAGCCCAUGUCGGAUUAGCUAGUUGGCGGGGUAAAGGCCCACCAAGGCGACGAUCCGUAGCUGGUCUGAGAGGAUGAUCAGCCACACUGGAACUGAGACACGGUCCAGACUCCUACGGGAGGCAGCAGUAGGGAAUAUUGGACAAUGGGCGCAAGCCUGAUCCAGCCAUGCCGCGUGAGUGAAGAAGGCCUUCGGGUUGUAAAGCUCUUUUGUCCGGAAAGAAAAGCAUCCAGUUAAUACCUGGGUGUCCUGACGGUACCGGAAGAAUAAGCACCGGCUAACUUCGUGCCAGCCGCCGCGGUAAUAC